AUGAUAUAAUAAGAAGGGCGUUAGUGAGUUAGUUAAAGAUAUUUGCGCGUUUGUUUGAAAGAAAAUGAAAGGAGUGGGAUGCAUUUAGCUUUCUACCUCAAUCUUUCUUUCAAACUACAGCUAAAUAUAACAAAGAAAGCUCUCUCUUUUCUAUUUUUCUCAAUUUCACCUAUAUUUUUCUCUCCAUUUUUGGAGCCGUCCUCUUAGGCCCUCUGAUUUUGCAAUGAAUUAAAUAUCUUUACAUAUCUCCUUGUGCUUCUCACCUCUCCUACAUUCUUGCCAAAGGGUAAUAUCUCCUUCCCUCUUCUUAAUUUUCUUCAUUGAACACAUCCAGUUCUUGCAUUCCUCAAUCAUCUCUAGCUACCCUUUUGA
rnacentral:lncRNA from 1 species